AUUGAACGCUGGCGGCAUGCCUUACACAUGCAAGUCGAACGGCAGCACGGGAGCAAUCCUGGUGGCGAGUGGCGAACGGGUGAGUAAUAUAUCGGAACGUGCCCAGUCGUGGGGAUAACGUAGCGAAAGCUACGCUAAUACCGCAUACGAUCUAUGGAUGAAAGCGGGGGAUCGCAAGACCUCGCGCGAUUGGAGCGGCCGAUAUCAGAUUAGGUAGUUGGUGAGGUAAAGGCUCACCAAGCCGACGAUCUGUAGCUGGUCUGAGAGGACGACCAGCCACACUGGGACUGAGACACGGCCCAGACUCCUACGGGAGGCAGCAGUGGGGAAUUUUUGGGACAAUGGGCGCAAGCCUGAUCCAGCAAUGCCGCGUGCAGGAUG
rnacentral:rRNA from 1 species